rnacentral:rRNA from 1 species
UACGUAGGGUGCGAGCGUUGUCCGGAAUUAUUGGGCGUAAAGAGCUCGUAGGCGGUUUGUCACGUCUGCUGUGAAAGCCCUCGGCUCAACCGAGGAAGUGCACUCGAAACUGCGUAGCUAGAGUCCCGGAGAGGAAGGUGGAAUACUUGGUGUAGAGGUGAAAUUCGUAGAUAUCAAGUGGAACACCGGUGGCGAAGGCGGCCUUCUGGACGGUGACUGACGCUGAGACGCGAAAGCGUGGGGAGCAAACAGG